UUGGGUCUUCAAAAGCUUAUGCUGUCUAUACAUCUAUGUGGACUGCUGUACAUACGUUUUACACUGGGUUAUCUUUGUAGUCUUUCAUAUUCAUAAGGGCAGUAUGAGAGCGAAGCGUCCACGCAUCUGGAAGGACAAUAAUGAGAUUAUCUGCUGGGCGCAGGCAUCCGUGGUUUUCACCUGAGCUCAGCAAAGCCUGAAGGGAUGGCGGGCGUGCGGCACAGCUGACGGGGCUCUUUGCUUGUUCGGCGCGCUUUUUCCCGAAGGGGCCCCGGUGACCACCGCAAGCCAUAAAUGAGGGAUGGGAACAACGCAGGCCACUUCAUUUUCAAACAGGGUGUGAAGACUUUGGAGCUCAGCCAAAAUGCCAGGAACAAAAGGUAAUAAAUCGGACAAGAAAUCAGCCACCAAGCAGCCGCCUCAGAGUCCUAAGGAACAGCCGAAGAAAAGUGAUCAGAAAGGAGAUGACAACAAAAAGCAAGGAGCAGGACAGCCGAAGGGAGAGAAGCAGUAACUUCCAAGCCUUCGUGAAGAUGGCACUGGAGACUCUUCUGGGCUCCUGUCGCCGCAACCAUGGCGACCAUCGGGGCAGGCAGGGCUGAGGUCACAUCCCCUUCCCCCUACUCCACCCCCCUACCCCUUCCAGCCAAUCAACAGCGCUCAUCUUGUGUUGUCGUCAUGGAGAUGACCCGAAGCCUCCGGUCUGUGUGAACCUUGGUGUCCGCCAGAUCCAAACCUCUUCCACCUUCCCCCCGCCUACGGUCUUCUCCUAUUGGCUGCUCAGGAUUGUGACAUGCUGCUGGGAGGGGCUCCUUUGAAGAGCCAACGACCUGAGAUUUUGCUCACAACCCUUUUCCUGCCCCACCUCUUCAUAUCUGACUCCGCCCCUUUUCAUUGACCAUAUUAUGGUCCUUACCUAUCUUGUAAAUAAAAAAUAGAUAAAGAUAGUAAUCAAUUGUACAGCAUUUUCACAA
ensembl:lncRNA